UUGUAAAGCUCUUUUGUCCGGGAAGAAAACGGUUGGUUAAUAGCGAGUGGGGAUGACGGUACCGUAAGAAUAAGCACCGGCUAACUUCGUGCCAGCAGCCGCGGUAA
rnacentral:rRNA from 1 species